UACGAAGGGGGCUAGCGUUGUUCGGAAUUACUGGGCGUAAAGCGCACGUAGGCGGAUAUUUAAGUCAGGGGUGAAAUCCCAGAGCUCAACUCUGGAACUGCCUUUGAUACUGGGUAUCUUGAGUAUGGAAGAGGUAAGUGGAAUUGCGAGUGUAGAGGUGAAAUUCGUAGAUAUUCGCAGGAGCACCAGUGGCGAAGGCGGCUUACUGGUCCAUAACUGACGCUGGAGGUGCGAAAGCGUGGGGAGCAAACAGG
rnacentral:rRNA from 1 species